UGAGGAAUAUUGGUCAAUGGGCGAGAGCCUGAACCAGCCAAGUCGCGUGCAGGAAGACAGUCCUAAGGAUUGUAAACUUCUUUUAUACGGGAAUAACGGGCGAUACGAGUAUUGCAUUGAAUGUACCGUAAGAAUAAGCAUCGGCUAACUCCGUGCCAGCAGCCGCGGUAAUACGGAGGAUGCGAGCGUUAUCCGGAUUUAUUGGGUUUAAAGGGUGCGUAGGUUGUUCGGUAAGUCAGCGGUGAAACCUGAGCGCUCAACGUUCAGCCUGCCGUUGAAACUGCCGGGCUUGAGUUCAGUGGCGGCAGGCGGAAUUCGUGGUGUAGCGGUGAAAUGCAUAGAUAUCACGAGGAACUCCGAUUGCGAAGGCAGCUUGCCAUACUGCGACUGACACUGAAGCACGAAGGCGUGGGUAUCAAACAGG
rnacentral:rRNA from 1 species